rnacentral:rRNA from 1 species
AUUGAACGCUGGCGGCAGGCUUAACACAUGCAAGUCGAGCGAGCGGCGGACGGGUGAGUAAUGUCUGGGAAACUGCCUGAUGGAGGGGGAUAACUACUGGAAAAGGUAGCUAAUACCGCAUACCAUCAGAUGUGCCCAGAUGGGAUUAGCUAGUAGGUGGGGUAAUGGCUCACCUAGGCGACGAUCCCUAGCUGGUCUGAGAGGAUGAUCAGCCACAAUGGGACUUAUACACGGCCCAGACUCCUUCGGUAGGCAGCAGGGGGGAAUAUUGCACAAUGGGCUCAAGCCUGAUGCAGCCAUGCCGCGUGUAUGAAGAAGGCCUUCGGGUUGUAAAGUACUUUCAGUCGGGAGGCGUUACUGACAGAAGAAGCACCGGCUAACUCCGUGCCAGCCGCCGCGGUAAUAC